rnacentral:rRNA from 1 species
GAUGAACGCUAGCUACAGGCUUAACACAUGCAAGUCGAGGGGAAACGAUAGGGAAAGCUUGCUUUUUCUAGGCGUCGACCGGCGCACGGGUGAGUAACGCGUAUCCAACCUGCCCAUCACUUGGGGAUAACCUUGCGAAAGUAAGACUAAUACCCAAUGACGUCUCUAGAAGACAUCUGAAGGAGAUUAAAGAUUUAUCGGUGAUGGAUGGGGAUGCGUCUGAUUAGCUUGUUGGCGGGGUAACGGCCCACCAAGGCGACGAUCAGUAGGGGUACUGGGAGGAAGGUCCCCCACAUUGGAACUGAGACACGGUCCAAACUCCUACGGGAGGCAGCAGUGAGGAAUAUUGGUCAAUGGACGAGAGUCUGAACCAGCCAAGUAGCGUGCAGGAAGACGGCCCUAUGGGUUGUAAACUGCUUUUAUAAGGGAAUAAAGUGAGUCUCGUGAGACUUUUUGCAUGUACCUUAUGAAUAAGGACCGGCUAAUUCCGUGCCAGCAGCCGCCGUAA